GUGACGACCAGCCAGUGCCACUGAACAAUAGAGUUUAAAAGUAAUUGAAGCACAGAUAUGUUUUGUGGUCUUAUGUGGUCUUACUGAUUGAAUACAACUAAUUACUGGUCAUCUGGAAAUUACAGAUGCAGUCAUACAACUUUAAAUUUUUGGUUUCUGUACACACAAGCAUGUGGAGGAAAACCUUGGAAAUUAGUUUCAUCAUUUUACAUAUUAGCCUAACACAAACAAUACAAAUGAACAGAUUGUGGAUUUUUUAAAAUUAAUUAUUCGUUGAUCGACAAACAUGUUGUGUCAGUUCGAAUUUGGUGUAUCAAAUUGGGGCCGCUUGACAGCAAUUUCCCAGGCUGCUUUUUGUUGCCGGUGAAGUGGUCUGAGUCCAGCCAAGAGAAUGCUUUUGUAAUUGUACUAAGAUAAAUGUAUGUGUGUGUGAGGAAAAGAGAGCCGAACAGGAAGAAAAAGAAAUUGGAGAGAGGGCAGCCCUGCCAGUUUAUCAUAACUGAUCCACCCACUCCUGCACAGGCUGUAUUUACAUUCCGACCGUCUUUGUACAACACCAACGACGGUCAUGAAUGCGUCGCGAAUGACGAGCUCUGCCGACACGAGCCAUAAAUCAACUGCGCAUCGCGUCCUCUUAUCUCCUGCUCUUUCGUGUCGACCUCUCUCGCAUGUCAGAGCGAAAGCACAUGGCUCUGAUUAGGGCUGCUCCUCUAUCCAAAGGCCGGCGAGGGCUGCUGGGACAGAAUGGCCAGGGCAAGACGCUGAGAAAAUGCUGAAAUGGAAGGAUAUGGAAAUCUAGCAGAGCACAGCAGAACUAAUGGGUUGGCAGCUCUCCCCCUGAAAUGAGAAGGGACUAAUGGAUCCGCGGCCCUGGCUAAGAUGGCUGAGGCAGAUUGCAUGUGGAUUUAAGUGAUUAAGAACAUGGUGGCCCCCGGUCCUGCUUUUGUCAGAGAAAAUGUAAUAUAUGACAAUGAAUGCUAAAAUAUGAAAUUCCUCAUUUAAAGCUGUUGCAGAGAAUUCAGAGUACAAUUCACAUCCGAGAUUAGGAAAAUAUAUGCUAUUUGAAUGCAUAUCGUGUUGGAAAUGAUAGGGAUGCAGAGGGCGUGGUGGGCGGGACAGCGGGAGUCUGCAAAUGAAUGACUCAAAUAAUAGUUAUGAUAAAGGUUUAUAAAGAUUUACAUGAUUUAUUUCAGCAAUUUAAAGGAGACAAAAGUGAGAUUUUUACUGUGGCUUUGGCAAAAACAAUGGAUUAUUGAUUAAUAGUGCUAAUUAAGUCAAGCUUGUAGCAACUUUCUAUCCAUAAGUGCGAUAAUAAUACUGCAUAAAAUGUGACAAGUUGUAAGAAAGGGGAGACUUUUAUCACAUUAGUGGCCCUUAAUAUUGUUAAUAUUAUUAUUGGCUCAUCAUUUAACAUUCUGUUAUGCCUCACAUGGAGAUAUGAUACCAUAUAAUGUAAUAUUGUGAUGUUAUGUUAUCUGAGAAUUGAUUGCCUCACCAAACUCUAUUGCAUUUUUAAGCCAUGUAAAGACACCAUUUCUUACAUUUCACCAAGUUAUUACAUCAUCUAUCAACAAAAAGACCAGAGGGCUAUGUGUGUGUGUGUGUGUGUGUGUGUGUGUGUGUGUGUUAGUCUGACACAUCAGAGAAACUAAAUUCAAAUGUACAAAUUACAAAAUUAUAAGUUACAAAUUUGACAUGGCGCCAUUAGUCAGAGAGUCAGAGUACAAAUUUCUUUAGUCGUGUUACAAAAAUAAUUUAUUCCAGAUUUAUACCAACAGGUUCUCAAAUCUAAACGACAUGUCAGUGCAUUUCAAAAUCCACUCAUGGUUAAGUCUAGGCAACUAAAACUACCCGGUUAAGGUUAGGGAAAGUUCACUUGCAUGAUUUGAGACCAGAUGUAAAUCCAGAUCCAUCCACCCUGACCUCCUCCUACUGACUUGUUGCUGCACAUCGUACUACUUCGGGUCUAAACAAAGGUCAUUGUUGCCCGACCACGUCAGAAAUGAAAAGUAGUAUAUAGGGGGUUUCCGAAGCAGUUCAACAUUUAAAAAAAAACCUCAGAGAAAUCAGGUUACACAGGAAACCAGACAUAUACACUGUAGUAACCUGGUUACUGUAAAUCCAUGUAGGCAUGUAAGUCAGUAAUCAGAAUUCUCCCUACCCCAGAAAUGAUUUUGUUAGCAUUACUUACUUAUUCUAAGUAUAGUAGUGAUGAAAAACACUGCUCCCUGAUUGUGUGUGUGUGUGUGUGUUUGGGAGCCUGAUGACCGAGAGAGAGGACAGGCCCUGUAGUGAGAGCGCACAGCUUUUCCUUACAGUACCAAUGUCUGAAUAUACAAAUACAAAUAUACAAAUUUUCAACCUAUUUUGACUUCUGGAGGUUACUUUGUGUUAGUUCUGCGUGCACAUCACUCCCUUCAUCUUGCCGCUCAGCUGUCACAUAUAUUUUCCUUGUCUGAAGUCUUUGUCAUGCACCCUGUGUUUUCUUGUUUUCAUCUUGAAACGGGGAAUAGUGAUAGUGUAAGAGGAGACAAUAAUGCUCAUGUUCCCCUAAUUGACUCUUUGAGUCACAUCGGUCGUCAAAGCAGUUUCAUUAUUAACCUAAUACCUAUAAGAUAAUUACUGCACUACUUGGAGAGAGAGUAUAGUGACCAACCCUGGAUGUCUUUCCAAAACUCCAGUACUGGUCAUUCUGACCUUCAUGGUGGUGGGGGGAGGGGAAUAUGUCCAUACUGCGUUUGUAACCCACCAAUUCAUCAUUCAGAUGUCACACACACACAAAGGCAACAUACAAGUUGUAAAACCCUUCUCCCCCCUUUGAUAAUGUGUGAUGUGUAACUUUUUUAACAUCGAAGCUGAGGUUAGCUCUAUAUCAUUACAAUGCUUGGCCUUCUGUAGCCUAUACCUCGGGAUAUUUCUGGUCUAAUAAUGCCUAUGUAAUUAUUACGCAGGCCAGAGGCCGUCUGUCAACACUGGUGAACCGGAUACUAAAGGUUAACAUCUGUCAUAAACACUCAAUCUCCUCAGAAAUUCAAAUGUCUGACAGUAUUCCAUUUUUUCGCUCUGCGUGGCCCGUGAGGUGCGUGCAGCGGUCACUUUCAGCGCAUGCGCACUGUGAAGAGUCAGAAAUCCGCAAAUCUGAAAAAAAAUCUCAAAAGCAGAAAUUAGACUUGUUUUUUGGUUUUCUAUUUAAUUUGAUUACCCACUUCAAUAUGAAACAAAAAACUAAAUUCUGACCCGUUUUUCACUUGCCAGAUUUAAUGGAAUAAUUGAAUGAUCGGAUGGCACAGAACAUGUAAAGAGCUGAUUAGACACCCAGUUAUGUGUAUACAUGGCCAAGAAAUGGACUUUCUAUAGGAGAAAUAAAGCUGGUGAAAUCAGGUUUCUCUAAUCCUGUACACCGACUAUGGAAACCAGGUUUUCCUUUUACAUGAUGUUAAAGAAAUCAUCUUAUUGCAGAAAGCUGACUGUAAUCUGGUUACUUAAGUGCAUGUAAACUCACUGCAUCAUAACUAUGAUGUGUAAAAAAUAAAGUGCAUUAAAUAGUUAAUUAAGUUGA